rnacentral:tRNA from 1 species
GCCGAAGUGGUGGAACUGGUAGACACGCCGUCUUGAGGGGGCGGUGGCUUAACGGCCGUGCGAGUUCGAGUCUCGCCUUCGGCACCA